GAUGAACGCUGGCGGUGUGCCUAAUACAUGCGAGUCGAGCGAACGGACGAGAAGCUUGCUUCUCUGAUGUUAGCGGCGGACGGGUGAGUAACACGUGGAUAACCUACCUAUAAGACUGGGAUAACUUCGGGAAACCGGAGCUAAUACCGGAUAAUAUUUUGAACCGCAUGGUUCAAAAGUGAAAGACGGUCUUGCUGUCACUUAUAGAUGGAUCCGCGCUGCAUUAGCUAGUUGGUAAGGUAACGGCUUACCAAGGCAACGAUGCAUAGCCGACCUGAGAGGGUGAUCGGCCACACUGGAACUGAGACACGGUCCAGACUCCUACGGGAGGCAGCAGUAGGGAAUCUUCCGCAAUGGACGAAAGCCUGACGGAGCAACGCCGCGUGAGUGAUGAAGGUCUUCGGAUCGUAAAACUCUGUUAUUAGGGAAGAACAUAUGUGUAAGUAACUAUGCACAUCUUGACGGUACCUAAUCAGAAAGCCACGGCUAACUACGUG
rnacentral:rRNA from 1 species